UAUGGAAAAGCAAAUGUAGGCAUGAGUAACGAUAAUGCGGGAGAGUAACCCGCACACCGCAAGACCAAGGUUUCCUGAUCAACGCUAAUCGGAUCAGGGUUAGUCGGGUCCUAAGGGUAAGCCGAACGGCGAUCUCGAUGGAUAAUCGGUUAAUAUUCCGAUACUAACAUAUACCUCGAUGGAGAGACGAAGGAACGUAAGUGCCGCCACCUGACGGAAUAGGUGGUUAAAGGGCGUAGGUAUAGGGGCAGAUUAAGAGUUAGUCCUUGCUGAAACCUGACAGUACAGAGAGCCUACGGGCAAUUUGAUAGAGCACCCAAGUCGACUUCCGAGAAAAUCUUCUAAGUUAUAGUAUAUGUUACCCGUACCGUAAACCGACACAGGUGGUCGAGGAGAGUAUCCUAAGGUGCUCGAGUGAAUCACGGUUAAGGAACUAGGCAAAUUAACCCCGUAACUUCGGGAAAAGGGGUCCCUAUGAAAGUAGGGCGCAGCGAAGAGGUCCAGGCGACUGUUUAUCAAAAACACAGGGCUCUGCAAAUUCGAAAGAAGACGUAUAGGGCCUGACACCUGCCCGGUGCUGGAAGGUUAAGAGGGGAUGUCAUCGCAAGAGAAGCAUUGAAUCGAAGCCCCAGUAAACGGCGGCCGUAACUAUAACGGUCCUAAGGUAGCGAAAUUCCUUGUCGGGUAAGUUCCGACCUGCACGAAUGGUGUAACGAUCUGGACACUGUCUCAACCGUGAGCUCGGUGAAAUUGUAGUCCCGGUGAUGAUGCCGGGUACCCGCAACGGGACGAAAAGACCCCGUGAACCUUUACUAUAGCUUAACGCUGAAUUUGGGUACACAAUGUGUAGGAUAGGCCGGAGGCUUUGAAGCGGGCACGCCAGUGUUCGUGGAGCCGACGUUGAAAUACGGCCCUUUGUGUAUUUGAGUUCUAACCCUGCGAAGGGGACACCGUUUGGUGGGUAGUUUGACUGGGGUGGUCGCCUCCAAAAGCGUAACGGAGGCUUCCCAAGGUACCCUCAGCACGAAUGGUAACCGUGCGCGGAGUGCAAUAGCAUAAGGGUGCUUGACUGUGAGACAUACAAGUCGACCAGGUACGAAAGUAGGGUAUAGUGAUCCGGUGGUUCUGCGUGGACUGGCCAUCGCUCAAAGGAUAAAA
rnacentral:rRNA from 1 species